rnacentral:rRNA from 1 species
CACGUAGUUAGCCGUGGCUUUCUAAUGAGGUACCGUCAAGGUACAAGCAGUUACUCUUGUACUUGUUCUUCCCUCACAACAGAGCUUUACGAUCCGAAAACCUUCUUCACUCACGCGGCAUUGCACCAUCAGACUUUCGUCCAUUGUGGAUGAUUCCCUACUGCUGCCUCCCGUAGGAGUCUGGGCCGUGUCUCAGUCCCAGUGUGGCCGAUCACCCUCUCAGGUCGGCUACGCAUCGUCGCCUUGGUAAGCCGUUACCUUACCAACUAGCUAAUGCGCCGCGGGCCCAUCCUAUAGCGACAGCCGAAGCCGUCUUUCAAAACUCUUUCAUGCGAAAGAAUUGAUUAUUCGGUAUUAGCCCCGGUUUCCCGGAGUUAUCCCCAACUACAGGGCAGGUUGCCCACGUGUUACUCACCCAUUCGCCGCUAACAGAGAGAGGAGCAAGCUCCUCAUCUGUUCGCUCGACUUGCAUGUAUUAGGCAUGCCGCCAGCCGUGU